UGAAUGUGCUUCUGUCCAUCAUCUGGGUCAUAUAUAGUUCAAUGCGAGCUGAGCAGACAGGGCUGCAAGGAAAUCUGGCGCGGUUCAAUACCUUGUCUAGCCUGGGUUCCAGUAUCUAAUUUUUUGACUGACAAACUCAUUUCUCUACCGGGACAGGAUGCUGUGCUGGCUGGAAGUUCCAUUUCUACAGCAAGAAUCCUAUCUGGAAACACAGAAGUUGUCCUCUAGCCACAGCAGCUUGAACUUUUUUGAUUGUUGUUGCUGCUUUUUCCCAUCACCCCCACCCCUUUUUGACAAAGAUCCAACUGUAAAAAGUCUUACGUAACAGUUCAGGACUACUUCGGUUCUUUUACUGGUGUAUCAAGAGGCCACAGAAGAUAAUGAAAAUAUUUACAUCUCCAAGUUGGAGCAAUGUGGGUUUCAGUAUUUCCUAGUACAUCUGGAAAAGCAAAGCAAAGAGAUUUUGGCUAUUGUAAAUAAUGCUGCUAUGAACAGUCAAUGCAAGUCUUUGUGUGGACAAGUUAUAUUUUGGGUAGAUACCUGCAGAGUGGAAUUAUUGCACCAUAUGGAAACAACCUGGCUGAAAAACAGUGGAUUAAUCGUGAACCUGAGUCACAGAAGAAAUCUCUUUGGCGACUUAUUACACAUGAGAAGUAUUUAUCCCUCAAGAUCCAGUUUAAAUAUCACCACCAGUGUGAAGUGUGAAGCAUAGAAAAGGAGAGCAUUCACUGAAGAACAAAGGAACAAUUUAAAUAUGGGCCUCCUCCACUAGACAAUAAGCUCUUCAAGGUAAGAAACAUGGCCUAUCCAUCUGCAGAUCUGCUUUUAUGGUCAGAACAGCUGUCAACACAUUGUGGAAGAUGCUCAAAUUCAGGAUGAACUAAAUAAAAGCAUAAUCCUGCCUCAAUGAUCAUAGUCUACAGGAAGUUACAGACUCAGAAAAUGUAAGUCUAGCCUAGAAAACAUGCAGGAAGUCUGAAAAAGGAAAUUGGAUUUGGAGCACCAGAAUUUGUAAGCUGUUGAAAGUGGCUGAAAUGCCUAGGAAGGCCCACCUCAGAGCAACUUUCCAGACUUUCUACAUAAAGGCUACAGGAGGGCCUCCCCUUAAG